rnacentral:rRNA from 1 species
GGGGAAUAUUGGGCAAUGGGCGCAAGCCUGACCCAGCAACGCCGCGUGAAGGAAGAAGGCUUUCGGGUUGUGAACUUCUUUUGUCGGGGACGAGUAGAAGACGGUACCUGACGAAUAAGCCACGGCUAACUACGUGCCAGCAGCCGCGGUAAUACGUAGGUGGCAAGCGUUGUCCGGAUUUACUGGGUGUAAAGGGCGUGUAGCCGGGUCGGCAAGUCAGAUGUGAAAUCCACGGGCUUAACUCGUGAACUGCAUUUGAAACUGUUGAUCUUGAGUAUCGGAGAGGCAAUCGGAAUUCCUAGUGUAGCGGUGAAAUGCGUAGAUAUUAGGAGGAACACCAGUGGCGAAGGCGGAUUGCUGGACGACAACUGACGGUGAGGCGCGAAAGCGUGGGGAGCAAAC